GCCUACGGGGCGCAGCAGUGGGGAAUAUUGCACAAUGGGGGAAACCCUGAUGCAGCGACGCCGCGUGAGUGAAGAAGUAUUUCGGUAUGUAAAGCUCUAUCAACAGGGAAGAAAAUGACGGUACCUGACUAAGAAGCCCCGGCUAACUACGUGCCAGCAGCCGCGGUAAUACGUAGGGGGCAAGCGUUAUCCGGAUUUACUGGGUGUAAAGGGAGCGUAGACGGAAGAGCAAGUCUGAAGUGAAAGCCCGAGGACCAACUGCGGGACUGCUUUGGAAACUGCCCG
rnacentral:rRNA from 1 species